GACGAACGCUGGCGGCGUGCUUAACACAUGCAAGUCGAACGGUAAGGCCCUUCGGGGUACACGAGUGGCGAACGGGUGAGUAACACGUGGGUGAUCUGCCCUGCACUUCGGGAUAAGCCUGGGAAACUGGGUCUAAUCCCGGAUAGGACAUCUGCCUGCAUGGGUGGUGGUGGAAAGCUGUUGCGGUGUGGGAUGGGCCCGCGGCCUAUCAGGUUGUUGGUGGGGUGAUGGCCUACCAAGGCGACGACGGGUAGCCGGCCUGAGAGGGUGACCGGCCACACUGGGACUGAGAUACGGCCCAGACUCCUACGGGAGGCAGCAGUGGGGAAUAUUGCACAAUGGGCGCAAGCCUGAUGCAGCGACGCCGCGUGAGGGAUGACGGCCUUCGGGUUGUAAACCUCUUUCAGCACCGACGAAGCGCAAGUGACGGUAGGUGCAGAAGAAGGACCGGCCAACUACGUGCCAGCAGCCGCAGUAA
rnacentral:rRNA from 1 species